CGAAAAUAUGUGUGCCCAUUAAUAGCCAUGCAGCUCUACGAUCUGCAAUUGAUGAGUCAUUGUCCUAAUCGAGAUCAAUUGAGUCAGUCUGGUGCAGCAGGCGCGUUAGUGCAGCUCCAUAGCGUAUAUUAAAUGUGCGUAAAAGCUCGUAGUCGACUUCGGGCUCCGUCAGCCGGUCCGCCUCUGGUGUGUACUGUUGACGGAGCCUUACCUCCUGGUGAACGGCGAUGUCCUUUACUGGGUGUCGUCGCAAACCAGGACUUUUACUUUGAAAAAAUUAGAGUGUUCAAAGCAGGCCUUUGCCCGAAUACAUUAGCAUGGAAUAAUAAAAUAGGACGCGCGUUCCCAUUUUGUUGGUUUCUGAGAUCGCCGUAAUGAUUAAUAGGGAUAGUUGGGGGCAUUUGUAUUCCGUCGUCAGAGGUGAAAUUCUUGGAUUGCCGGAAGACAAACUACUGCGAAAGCAUUUGCCAAGGAUGUUUUCAUUGAUCAAGAACGAAGGAAGGGGGAUCGAAAACGAUUAGAUACCGUUGUAGUCUCUUCUGUAAACUAUGCCAAUUGGGGAUCGGUACAGGAUUUUUAAUGACUGUAUCGGCACCCGAAGAGAAAUCUUUAAAUGAGGUUCGGGGGGGAGUAUGGUCGCAAGGCUGAAACUUAAAGGAAUUGACGGAAGGGCACCACCAGGUGUGGAGCCUGCGGCUUAAUUUGACUCAACACGGGGAAACUCACCAGGUCCAGACACAAUAAGGAUUGACAGAUUGAUAGCUCUUUCUUGAUCUUGUGGUUGGUGGUGCAUGGCCGUUCUUAGUUGGUGGAGUGAUUUGUCUGGUUAAUUCCGAUAACGAACGAGACCUUAACCUGCUAAAUAGACCAGCCGGCUUUGGCUAGCUGCUGUCUUCUUAGAGGGACUAUCAGCGUUUAGCUGAUGGAAGUUUGAGGCAAUAACAGGUCUGUGAUGCCCUUAGAUGUUCUGGGCCGCACGCGCGCUACACUGACAGAGCCAGCGAGUCUACCACCUUUGCCGGAAGGCAUGGGUAAUCUUGUGAAACUCUGUCGUGAUGGGGAUAGAACAUUGCAAUUAUUGUUCUUCAACGAGGAAUACCUAGUAAGCGUGAUUCAUCAGAUCGCGUUGAUUACGUCCCUGCCCUUUGUACACACCGCCCGUCGCUACUACCGAUUGAAUGGCUUAGUGAGGCCUCCGGAUUGGCUAUUGGGAGCUCGCGAGAGCACCCCGACCCCCC
rnacentral:rRNA from 1 species